UAGUCCACGCCCUAAACGAUGCUUACUCGGCAUUGGCGAUAUGACUGUUCAGUGCCUAAGCGAAAGUUUUAAGUAAUCCACCUGGGGAGUACGAUCGCAAGAUUGAAACUCAAAGGAAUUGACGGGGGCCCGCACAAGCGGAGGAACAUGUGGUUUAAUUCGAUGAUACGCGAGGAACCUUACCUGGACUUAAAUGUACGUUGCAUGGAUCAGAGAUGGUCCUUUCUUCGGACUACGUACAAGGUGCUGCAUGGUUGUCGUCAGCUCGUGCCGUGAGGUGUUGGGUUAAGUCCCGCAACGAGCGCAACCCCUAUCUGUAGUUGCCAACAGGUGAUGCUGGGGACUCUACGGAAACUGCCUACGCAAGUAGUGAGGAAGGCGGGGACGACGUCAAAUCAUCAUGGCCUUUAUGCCCAGGGCGACACACGUGCUACAAUGGUGGGGACAAAGGGGUAGCGACAUAGCGAUAUGAAGCCAAUCCCAAAAACCUCAAUCUCAGCUCGGAUU
rnacentral:rRNA from 1 species